UGAGAAUGCACCACUGCACUCCAGACUGAGUGACAGAGCAGGAUUCCAUCUGAAAAAAAAAAAUAGGAAGAGGAAACCUCUAUGUUGAGUACGCCUGACUUCCAGGUAUCCCUUUUCUAUUUGCAUAGGUGCCGGCAUUUACCUAUGCAAGCUUUUAGCAUGCUUGCGGCUUGAUUUUUUAGGCUGAUUUUCGCUAGAAAAGCGAUUAUAUGGGGGCUGCUUUUUAUUAAAAGAAAAACCUUACUGAGGACUCUCUUACCUACACUAACUGCUUAAUAAUUUCUUUUUAGCUCCUGUAUCAGCAGUGCUUGUGCCUGAUAGGUGAUGAUCAUGAGGGGGACCAGGAGCCUCUAGACUUAAGAGACAAGUUGCCAGCAUUCUCCAGAUGGAGUGUUUCCCUCCCCAGCACCACCUGCUGAUAUGCUUCCUUAUGAACUGACGGUGACUCCCAAAUUCAUAUGUUGAAGACCCAACUCCCAACGGACUUGGAGGUGGGCCUUUGAGAAGUAAUUGGGUUUAGAUUAAGUCAUAAGGGUGGAGCCCCCUUGAUGGUAUUAAGUCCUUCUAAGAAAAGGAAGAGAGUCUGAGCUCUCCUCUGUCUCCACCAUGUGAGGGCACAGAGAUGUAUGCUUCUUGGAUUUUGUUUUUAACUCAGUAUGAAAAACAUAUAUUUUAAUAAGAAAAUUACCCCAUUCAUUGUUAGUGUGUUUAUUGAUAAUGUUGGACUUACUUGUGCCAUAUUUAAGAAAUCCUCUUUCAUCCUUCCCAUGCUUUCUUGUUGUUUUUUUAAUGCAAGUGCAUGAUAAGGUUUAGGGAUCACUUUUUUAACAGGUCCACGAAGGGCUAGAUAAGGGAAGCUGGUUUGCGUUCAGGGAAGCGGCAGAGGAGGGAAGCUGGCAGCUGGGCUGUGCUAAGAUGACCUUAGCCCCAGACCCUGGAUGAACAUCCUCUUCUGGAUACAGGACCUGCCCGAGGCAUCAUUUUGAAAUAGUCAAAUUUUAUUUGCUUUGUGUUCUUUCAUCACAUAUAUUAGCUUUUGCCUCUUGAGUGCCAAAAUAUAGCUGUUUUUAUAUUACCCCAAGUUCCUGAGUUUAUUUUUUAGGUAAGAAUUUUCCACCCUUUGAAAUCCCAAAUGACAUGUUUACUCUCUUUCUCAGACCAUGCUUUCAUUUCAGUCAAUGUAACAAAUCAGCCAGGUCUCAGGAGUUUAGAAAUCUGAUUGGAUUGAUUUAUACUAAGCGGUAACAGAUCUACCACAGCCUUCUAAGAUGAAUUGGAGUUUCUUAAAAACUCCAUGACCUACACUAUUCUUUAGGUGCUGGAAUUGCACACUUUCAAAUCACAUCAAGUAUAAACAUUCAAUUUUGUGGGGGGUUAUUUUCUAUGGAGAGAUGAGGUGUUGAUUAAUACUGGUAGGCUUUACUCCAAAAGACAAUUCUAUUAAGAUUUCUUUUGUUUUUUAAAAUCUAGACUAUCAGAAGGAGUAAAAAUGCCAAUUUUUUUUUUCUUUUUGCUGUGGCUACAAUGUUCACAGUAAUCCAAGCUCCAAUGACAGGGGGGGAGAGCGGAGCCAAAUGAGGCCCCGUUUUUUUCAUGAAGUGUAUUUUUCUUUUUUUUUUUGAGAUCAGGGGUUCAGAAAUUGUAAUAUAAGUGUUCAAUUAUAAAGUUAUUAUGAUAGUGCAUGGCACGUGUCCUUUCCAUCAUCUGGAUUUUUCCACUUUUACUGUAUGGCUCACUCUUACUCACUCUCCAGUCUUCACCUUAGUGGUCACUUCCCCCUGAAAUGCCCUUGACCCCUUAAGAUAGCAGUGCUGCAAACAUCGUAAGCUGAAUUUAUAGCCAGACUCACAGGCAACACCUUAUCUUGUGCCAUGCUUCACUAAUGAUGAGGAAGUGAGAAAGAGUAGGGGAAAGGAGGCACAACAAAUGUCAUUUCCAUAACAGAGGCCUCAAGGCCAGCCCACUUGAUUCUCUGGAGAUCCUUUUCUGCAUAACAAUGAUGAAAGGUAGCCUAAGAAAGCCAUUUGUCUGAGGCUUCACCUUUGAUACCUUGCUAGACACUAAACUAAGAGACUGAUUCCAUUCUUUAGUAUAGCCAUUGCCUCAUAAAUCCAUACAUAACAGGGGUAUUUCUUUCCAAUAAAGUAUCCAUAUAGAUUAGGUAUAUUCUAUUGACAAUUUUAUUAAAGUUCUUCAUUUAUCUUCCAGAUAGUAGAUUCUAUCAACCAAGUUUCAUAAAGAGUUCUGAUUCCCAGAGGUAAGAACUGAGCCUGGCUUUCUAGUUACAUGUUUAUUGGUAACUCUGUCCUUCCCUACAACACUUAAGCAUAUUUAAAGACUAUACCCUCCCCUGCCUCCAGCUUGGAUUGUAAGCUCCUCAAGAGCAUGGCUGUGUCCUUUAACAUCAAGUCUCCAUGUGAGAAAGAGUUCCUGCCAUAUCACAAAUGCCCAAUCAACAUUUGUAAGUGAAGAAAGCUAUUCUGUGGUGUCUGCUUUAAUAUUAAGAGAUGGCUUGCCCAAGAUUGCUAAGCAGCUUCAUUGUCUACAAUGGAACAAGAUUCUGUGGGUAGCAGUUCCAUUGGUGCCACUGACAGGAGGCCUCAAGGAAACCUAGUGCACUAGUCUUUCUGAUGACGCCUUGAUUUUCUUCCAGCACAGAGCCGUAAAAUGGAAUAUUCUUCUGACACAGAUACUUCAUGCAUCGCAUGAUCAGCCGUGUCCCAUUGCCUCUCCUUCGGUAUUUUUCCACACUGUAGCCCAUUCCUAUUUCACAAGAAGGGUCCAUGGUUACCCAUGAGACCGGGACCCCCUCUGGGCCCAGCAUACAGGCUGCUGGCAGGGCUCCUAGGCAGCGCUUGAUGUAACGCAGGCUCCUCUUAUUCAUCCCUAGCUUCCAGUUGUCAUUUACCAGCCCAGAAUAAGACACAUUCAGCUGGGCAUACUUAAAGUUCGGAGUCUCGCUGUAGAAAACAAAAAGAAAGACAACAACUUUCAUCCCCACUCCUGUAAUUUCUAGGUGCCCUUCCAUUCUAGAGAUCCCAGGCCCUCUUCUUGUUAAAAGACCCACCAUUGCAAAGUGGCGUAUUUUGACCACUGACAACCUUUAUUCAUCCCAAGGAAUGAAUUCAUCCUCUCUUCAUUCCAAAACUGAUUUAUGUGAAUUACAAAAAUGUACAAGGAAUAGCAAUUAUAAAUGAUCAGCACAUGUUUUUUGUACCUCUCCAAUUCGUCAUCUGGGUGGCCUGUCUCAGCCCAGCUUCCAAGCUUGCUUUUAUUGGUGGCAUAGAGCUUCAGGAUAUCUUCCGUAACAAAGAGGAGUGCUCUCGAAUGCUCUACCUUCACUGAAUUUGAAAAUGCAGCUGCUCUUAUCCCCUCACCUAAACUUUCUUGAAAACCUGAGAGAAAGCCAAGAAAGCAAUAUUGUCAGACAUGCAGUUCUCUACUUACACUGCUCACACCUGAUUAAUGCCUCAGUGCUUAGUAGUUCUCAAAGUUGAGUUUACACCACAAUCAGCUAUAGUCCUUGGCACACCACAGAUUGCUCCACCUCUCCCAGCUCUGAGAAUUUCAAGGAAUUUACAUUUCUAAUGAGCUCUCAGGUGAUGCUAAUGCUGUUAGUUGAAGACACAAUUUGAGAAGCACAGCUGCUUGCCCAUUUCUUCAGACUUGUUACCUUGGAUUUGGAGUUUCUGUUUCCAGUUUAUGAUCUCAGAAUUUUUCAAAACUUCUUGUGAUUUUUGAGGGUCUUUGGAGAAUACACGAUAUACAUUAGUGUAUGAAUCCAUGUCAUCAGUCAUCUCCUGUGUAGGAUGGUGAAAGGUCAGAUCAUUCCCUUGAACUUUUUCUUCUCCUCUCACUGAUUGCAAUUAUUAGAAAAAUGAAAAUUCAAAAGAAAGUUUUAGCACUAGCCCACGAUGGCUGCAGUUGGGCACGUGGAUAAUAUAAGUGAGACCUAUAAGCUACUGCUGACCUCUUACCUGUGUAACUGGAGUUUGUUAAAUAUUGAACACUGACAGUUACUGGUUAUAAACCUGCUUCUCAGAUACAUAACAAAGACAGGAUGAAAUCAGUCACCCUCCACCAGGCCUUAAGAUGCCUCACUUUUCUCCCUACCCACUCAACUGCACACUUACCUUAUUUUAUAUAUAGCAUCACAGAGCGCCCAGCAGAAGCAAAGGAAUGCAACAAUUGCUUCUCUCCCUGCUUCUCUCACCUCCUGGACCACACAUAUCCCCCUGUUAUAUAUACUGUGCCCCACAUAACCCCCUGUGGGACAUAUUCUGGGUUGUACUGAGUCCGUGUUGAUAGGGUUAAGUUCUUAAGCUCGGCACAAGAUGAAUUUAACCAUGAUUUCUCUAAGUUAUAGUGCCUACUGUUUCACCAGACACCUACAAUCUAUAUUGUUCUAGAAUCUGCAGUGUCCAGGGUUUGAGCAAGAUACUUUAGUGAAUAUAAACAUUAAGGAGACAUUGCCUUUUCCCAAGGCUACAGGAUAUCAGCCUCUUUGAAGAGUGACAUGGCCUUUACAGCCAGAAGCCCACAAAAUAGAAUGAAGUAACUGAAUUUUCCGUAGCACUCUGCGCAAUUUAUGUGGUGUUAGACUCAUGGGUUUUAAAGAAAGAUACUUGUGAUCUCAUUCUCACAAGCCACAAACUUCAUGGGACGAUGAGUAUCUGUUUAUCAGGGGAAAUAUAAACAAUAAGUGUGAGUUUUAGCAGUGCAUGUAUUAAUAUUAUGUUGAAAAUUGUAUUGUUAAGGAGUAAAAGAGAAAAUAGUGUAACUAAUUUUAAAGAAACCUUCAAGAAUUUGAGGAUGCUUUUAUAAAUGCAAGUUCCUGAAUAUGGCCAAAACACAACACCUCAGUGAAUUUAAAAGAGUAGAUGUUUUAAAAGACCGGAUUUUAAAAGAAUGACUGAACAUAGCCAAGUAAAUAUUCAAAGAAUUAUAAAAAGAAUAUCAAAGUAGACUAGAAAAUAACAAAUGGAACAAUUUGUAAAAAUGAAAGCCAUAAAUAAUGAAAUGUAGAACAAGACACAGUGCAAAUGAUAUAUAAAGCCAAAAGUUCAUUUUUAAAUGGCAAAAAGAAAGAGCAGAAGAGAGAGAGAGAUAAACUUCUGGUAAGGCAUUUAAAGGAAAUAGAAGAGAAAGAGAAAAAAGAAAAAAAAAAGGCAUAGAGUAUGAGCCAUGAGAAUGGAAACAGAAAAGGAAAAAGACUUAUAAUAGAAGAUUAUAUACUACUCCAAGGCAACAUAUUCACUGAUAAAGAAAUGGAUGUUAUCCCUCAAGAAUAAACUAUCAAAAUUGACUUUCAAAAAAUAGAAAACUUCAAUGAACUAAUAGAAAUAUCGGAAAUGAAAUGAAAUAUCUACCAUUUGAAAAGUGGACAAGAAUUAUGGCUUCCAGCUCCAUCCGUGUUGCUACAAAGGACAAUAUUUUAUUCUUUUCUAUUGCUGUGUAGUAUUCCAUAGGAAUACAUGUACCAAGUUUUUUUAUCCAAUGCACCUUUGAUGGGGAUCUGUGAUGAUUCCAUGUCUUUGCUAUUGUGAACAGUGCAGCAAUGAACAUCCUAGUGCAUGUGUCAUUUUGGUAGAACGAUUCAUUUUCUUUUGGGUAUUUACCUAGUAAUGGCAUUGCUGGGUCGAAUGGCAACUCUCUUUUAAGUUCUCUAAGAAAUUUCCAGACUACUUUCCACAGUGUAAUAAUCCUAAGCAAAUUAAUGCUGUAACAGAAAAUCAAAUAUCACGUUUUCACUCAUAACUGGGAGCUAAGCAUUGAACAUACAUGGACAUAAAUGUGAGAACAAUAGACACUAUGGACUCUAGAGGGUGGAGGGAAAGGGGCUGGGUUAGAAAACUACCUAUCGGGUACUAUGCUCACUACCAGGGUGAUGGGAUCUGUCCAUACUCCAAGACUCAGCAUCAUGCAAUAUUUGCGUGUAACAAAUAUGCACAUGUACCCCCUUUAUCUAAAAGGAAAGUUGAAAUUACAAACUAAAAAGUAGCCAAAAUUAGAUUAUUUUACAUUUCAAUUCUACAUAAGGCAAAACCAAACACAUAAUUUUAAUAGUAGACUUUGGUAACAGAUGAAAAUAUCCUAAUGCCAAAUCUGGUAAAGAAAUAACAAAAAGAGAGUUACUGACCAUAUUGGCUUAUGAAUACAGAUGCAAAAAUUCUGAAUAAAAUAUUCAGUAGCAUAUGAAAAGAAUGUGAACAUGAACAGUUUGUUUUAGAAAGGCCAGAAUGAGUUUGAUCAGAAGAUCUUUUAGGGUAAUAAAUUAAAGGAGGAAAAAAUUACAUGAGUAUAUAAAUUGCCAUAAAAAGACAAAAAUGAAAUAACAUAAAAUCUACCGUUCAUUCUAAAUAUAAUUUCUAUGAAAAUGGGAAAACAGGAAAGUGCUCUAAGCCUGUAAAGACAGAAUUAAAUGUAAUUCCAAAGGUAAGUUUUUAUAGCUAUUUCAUUAAAAUCAGGAAUGAGACAAGGAUAGAACUUUUAUUAUGGCUACUUGGUAUUGUUUUCUUAGGUUGUACAUUAUACAAUAAGGCAAGAAAGUAAAAACCCAUACAAAUAUUGGCAAAGAAGCAGCAAAUUACUUUGUUUAUAGAUUACAGUAUUACACAUUUAGAAAAUAUAAGAGACUUCGACAGAAAACAAAAACAAAUAACACCCCAGGCAAACAAAGAAGAUUUUAAAGCAUAGUGUGACAUAUUUGGAAAUGAAGAAUAUAAAUAGAAAGCAAUAACAAAAUAAUAAUGCUCAGAAAUAGAAAAGGAAAAAUAAUUUAAUAAUCUUAAAAAAUAAUAUAAAAUACCUAAGGGUAAACUUAAUGGAAAAAUCACGUAGUUUACCUCAGGAAAACACUAAUAUUUUACCAGAUGGCAUAGAACAGAAACUGAAAAAAGUGAGAGAAAGACCAUAUUUCUUGAUAAAAAUAUUUAGUAUCACAAAAAUAUUAAUGCUUCCACAAUUGUCUAAAAAAGCUCCUCCAAUACAAAUCACAAUUGCAAUACUUAGUUGGGGAAAUUGGGGAACUGAAAAAUUAGUUUUUGUUCAUAUAGCUCUGAAGUUUAUAAGAAAUAGGAAAGCAAGAAAAAGAUUAGUGAAGGGUGAUUUGCUUUAUUAGAUAUUAAAAUUUGCCACAAAACAAUGAAAUAGCAUGAGAAAAGAUUAGAAACAAAUACAGAAAUAGCUACAAAAAUAUAUAAAAGUUAUAUGACAAAAUAGACAUUUAUGUUUCAGUAGCAGAAUGACUUACUUAAUAAAUAGCACUAACGUAAUUAGCCAGCCAUUCGGGGGAUAAAUAUAAAAGAAUGUUAAUUCAUGCUAUUCAAAAAUAUAUUCCAAAUAGAAUGAAGUUUGAAAUGUCAAAAGUAAAAAUUAACUCACUGUAAGACAAAAUGAAAAAAACAACUUGUACGAUCUUGGUUUAGGAAAAAUCUUCCUAAUUAUUAACAAAAAAACUCCCAAAGCCUCAGGAAUCAUAGUGAAAAAGAUAAUAUAUUUGAUUACAUGAAAAUUAAAAAUUGCUUCAUGUGAAAAUCUAUCAAAUUAGAAAAUAAUUCUAAAUUGGGCAACAAAUUUGUAGCAUACACCUUGUGUUAGUAUCCCUCAUAUCCAAAACACAUAGAGAAUUUUAAGAAUGACACAAAAUCCCAGUGUAAAAAUGGUCAAACAAUAUAAACAGUUCAGAAGUAAACCCAAAAUGACUGAUAAUCAUAUGAAAAUAUAUGUUGAAUAUCACUAGUCAGGGAAAUGCAAAUUAAAUCUACAAUAAGAUGCCACUUUUCACCCACCAGUUUGGCAUAAAGUAGAAGAAGGAUAACAUUCACUGCUGAUGAGAAUGUGGGAAACAAUUCUUCCACAGAUUGCUAAUGGAAAUAAUACUGUGGAAUCCUUUGGGAGGGUAGUCUGGCAGUGCCUACUUAGGAUAAGAUAAGCUCUGACUUGGACUUAUCCCUUUUGGAAACCAAUUGCAUUGAGAAAAGUUUCCAGGAUGUAAAGACAUGUAUACAAGGAUGUUUAUUGAAGCAUUGUUUGUAAUGGCAAAGAAGUAUGAACAAUUUGAACCCAACAGGAGGAGAAUGACUGACUAAAUAGCAUUGCAUUGACUCUAUGGAACGCCACAGUUAUUAAAACAAAUAUGUUAGUGCUGUAUUGAUUCACUCAAAGCAAUGUCCAUAUGUCAAAGGCAAAUUAAAAAGCGAUUACAGAAGAGAUCAUAACUGAAUAUCCGUUUGUGUGUUAAUAUGGCCAAGGACACCGAUUACCCCAAAGGGUAGGAAUGGAGGAGAGGAGGGCAAAGAGGUGAGAGGUUAUUAACUUCUUAAAAUCAUGUUGAAUUUUUCCACUUCUAUAAUCAGCAUAUAUUAUCUUUCUGAUUAGGAACCAACAAAGAAAAAUUAAUAUUUUUCUAGAGAAAUUCUCCUGCAUCUCACCUUAAAAAGGUCUUCUUCAAAAUUGCAUUGAUUUUCAAUACUGAAAGAAACAUGGUAUACUAUGGAAUCAGACUAAGUGAAUGUAUUUCCAAGUAAAUUGCAGCAUAUUUCAUUCUUUCCAUUUUUUUGGUCAUAUAUGUGUGGCAUGGAACUUUUAUAUUUUAAUAUUUUUGUUUGCUGACUCACUAUAUAAAAACUAGCCUUGUUCAAAGCAAUGCAUAUAUGAAGUUACAGCUUGAUGGUACAGUUACAUUGUUAAAAUACACAUAGUGACUACAAAGUUACUGAAGUAAAAAGAACUAUUUGGUUCAUACAGUUAUUUAGCGUAUGACACUUUGAAGAAAUUGGACCAUGGAUCAAGUAAACUAACCAUUAAUCAUCGAUCCGAAAUUGUCAGGAAACCAGGAGAUCAAAAGAACAUCCCUGGGGAAGGUAUUAGGCUCAGCUUAUUAUUAUGUGGGGGCUCAGUGUCUAUACCCACCUGAAGCUGGGCUGGCCAUGAGGCUUCAGUUCACUAAUCAGAUGUGCAUGAAACAGACACAAAAAGGGGAAGUCUUUAGGGCCAAAAAAUAGACCUAGGUUUGUAUUACUAUUUCAGCUUAAUCGUGUAUUCCUUGUGUGUCCUCGGCCAAUAAUGGCUAAUUAUGGUAAAUACUAUUUAGAAUUAUGUGCUAUAUACUAAGUGUUUGACAUGUGGUAUCUCAUUUAAACCUUGUGUAAUCCUCUGAAGAAUGUCCUCCUAUUUUUCCCAUUUUAACAGAUGAUAAAACUCACAGAAGGGCCUAUGGUUAUAUAGCUAGUAAAAGUGGCAGAGUCCGUUGAACUUGAAUUCAGAUUGGGGAAUGCUUUAACAGAUGGUAUCCAGCAGCUACCUGACUGAAUAUUUCUCAGUGUUGUUUCCUCAUCUCUAAAUUAAAGAUAUUAAAGCUCA
rnacentral:lncRNA from 1 species